rnacentral:rRNA from 1 species
UACGUAGGGGGCAAGCGUUGUCCGGAAUUAUUGGGCGUAAAGCGCGUGUAGGCGGCUUUGCAAGUCGGGUGUGAAAGCCCUCAGCUUAACUGAGGAAGUGCGCCCGAAACUGCAGAGCUUGAAUACCGGAGAGGAUGGCGGAAUUCCCCAAGUAGAGGUGAAAUUCGUAGAUAUGGGGAGGAACACCGGUGGCGAAGGCGGCCAUCUGGACGGCUAUUGACGCUGAGACGCGAAAGCGUGGGGAGCAAACAGG